rnacentral:rRNA from 1 species
GACGAACGCUGGCGGCGUGCUUAACACAUGCAAGUCGAACGGAAAGGCCCUGCUUUUGUGGGGUGCUCGAGUGGCGAACGGGUGAGUAACACGUGAGUAACCUGCCCUUGACUUUGGGAUAACUUCAGGAAACUGGGGCUAAUACCGGAUAGGAGCUCCUGCUGCAUGGUGGGGGUUGGAAAGUUUCGGCGGUUGGGGAUGGACUCGCGGCUUAUCAGCUUGUUGGUGGGGUAGUGGCUUACCAAGGCUUUGACGGGUAGCCGGCCUGAGAGGGUGACCGGCCACAUUGGGACUGAGAUACGGCCCAGACUCCUACGGGAGGCAGCAGCGGGGAAUAUUGCACAAUGGGCGGAAGCCUGAUGCAGCAACGCCGCGUGCGGGAUGACGGCCCUCGGGUUGUAAACCGCUUUCGCCUGUGACGAAGCGUGAGUGACGGUAAUGGGUAAAGAAGCACCGGCUAACUACGUG